UACGUAGGGACCAAGCGUUGUUCGGAUUUACUGGCGUAAAGGGCUCGUAGGCGGCCAACUAAGUCGGAUGUGAAAUCCCCAGGCUCAACUUGGGAACUGCAUCCGAUACUGGAUGGCUUGAAUUCGGGAGAGGGAUGCAGAAUUCCAGGUGUAGCGGUGAAAUGCGUAGAUAUCUGGAGGAAUACCGGUGGCGAAGGCGGCAUCCUGGACCGACAUUGACGCUGAGGAGCGAAAGCUAGGGGAGCAACGGGG
rnacentral:rRNA from 1 species